rnacentral:lncRNA from 1 species
CGGGCGGUGCCGCAGGUGCACCUGGCCCGGGCGGGGGCUGCCGCAGCCCCGCCCCGCCGACCCCCGGCCGCGGCUCGUAGUAAAUAACAAGUUGAGUAAAGCUCCGGCAGCUUUUUAUAUGCCGGGGGAGGCCCUGCCUUCCCCACCAGGCAAACCGUACUCCUGCCAUUGCUCAGGAGCACUCCCCGCGCCCCGCGGCUGUGCUGGGAAGCCGGCAGUGCUCCCGAGGAGCCCUUGAUGAAGCAACUCCUGCCUAAUUGCUCUGCCGCCUGUACCUCCGGGUGCAGCUUGGCCCUGCCGGUGAAACAAACGAGAGGCUGGGAAAGAAACCUGAAGUCGUGAGUCUGGUGGAGCACUGCGUGUUUCCAAACGCUCUGCUCUGAGUUCAUCCCACCAGUAAGGCUGUGCAGCGUGAGAACUGCUGUUGCAAAACUACCAGAUUCAACCUCCUGGGGAGCCUUUCUGGCCAAGGUUUUACAAGCCAGCACCUGCUUUGCCUGCCUGACUUCUUUCUAUAUUUAUUCCUCUGCACCCGGUUUUUGCCUUUGCCUGUGGAACUGUCACAAACAUUUGUGCUGGCUUUUGACUGCACAGGACUUCAGCUUGCAAGUCCUAAAUCUGCCUUUGUGCAUGGUGGAGGAGCAGGCGUUUUUGUGCAUGGUUGUGCCAUCUGUGUGUCUGAGCAUCCCUGGUCCUUGCUGUCUGCAUUAUGUGGCCUGUGUCCCUGUGAUUCUGCAGCAGUCCCUCUGUUCUCUGUCCCUUCAAGACGUUUUUAUGAAUCAAAUAGUCUCAGUCAUCCUACUUAUGUAAUUUGUAAUUUUUCAUUUAACUGUGCCACCCCUGACCCAGUGGCUGCUUUAAGGCAAAGGCAAUGUGAGCAACCCUCACUCCCCUGGGUUUUGUGUCCCUGUCCCUGCCAUGUGUGCCACUGCAGGCUGCAUUCCUCUCCUGUUCUGUAA